UACGGAGGGUGCGAGCGUUGUCCGGAAUCAUUGGGCGUAAAGGGCGCGUAGGUGGCCCGGUCAGUCAGUGGUGAAAGCGCGGGGCUCAACUCCGCGUCGGCCAUUGAUACUGCGGGGCUGGAGCACUGUAGAGGCAGGCGGAAUUCCGGGUGUAGCGGUGGAAUGCGUAGAGAUCCGGAAGAACACCGGUGGCGAAGGCGGCCUGCUGGGCAGGUAGCUGACACUGAGGCGCGACAGCGUGGGGAGCAAACAGG
rnacentral:rRNA from 1 species